rnacentral:misc_RNA from 1 species
GAUGAAGAACGCAGCGAAAUGCGAUAAGUAAUGUGAAUUGCAGAAUUCAGUGAAUCAUCGAAUCUUUGAACGCACAUUGCGCCCCCUGGUAUUCCGGGGGGCAUGCCUGUUCGAGCGUCAUUACAACCCUCAAGCUCUGCUUGGUAUUGGGCCCCGCCAGUUCUGGCGGGCCCUAAAGUCAGUGGCGGUGCCUUCCGGCUCCGAGCGUAGUAAUUCCUCUCGCUCUGGAGACCCGGUUGUGUGCUUGCCAACAACCCCCAAUUUUUUAAGGUUGACCUCGGAUCAGGUAGGGAUACCCGCUGAACUUAAGCAUAUCAAUAAGCGGAGGA